UGCGUAGGCGGUCCAUUAAGUCAGUGGUGAAAUACGGCAGCUCAACUGUCGAGGUGCCAUUGAUACUGAAGGACUUGAGUACAGUCGAGGUAGGCGGAAUUGACGGUGUAGCGGUGAAAUGCUUAGAUAUCGUCAAGAACACCGAUAGCGAAGGCAGCUUGCUAGGCUGUAACUGACGCUGAGGCACGAAGGUGCGGGGAUCAAACA
rnacentral:rRNA from 1 species